UUGAAUGCGCUUCACAUUUCGCGAGUUAAAAUAUGUAUAUAUGUGUAGAUUCUCAACACUGGACAGAUUCAACAAAUGGCCGCGGCAAUGGAUCAUGACACGAAAAGACAGAUUGUAAAAGGAAAAGACUUAUUGCUGGUCGGACUAUCAAUACACCGUCUGUAAAUCAUAAUAUUGUAAAUAAAAAACGUAAACGUCGUAAAAAGUAAAACGUCGGUGACGAAGCUUUUUUACACAACGAAAUGUUUUCUACUCUGUAAACGGCGUAAUAUUUGGUAACCAGGCGCUACGCCGGAAGAAAAAUUCUCUCGGACCAACAUCAAAACACUGCGAUGACCAACAUCAGCUCAUGGACUGACGGGUAAAAACCACUGCUCUAAAUGCAUGCUCUUCUUACCCUAACUUUUGUAGGAUCUUUCAAACCCGAUUUUGUGUGUCAUGACUUAAAAGUGAUAACGUUACUUACUUCAGGUAUGCUAAGUUCCUUAUUCAAAUUCAUAAUUGCAACAGAUUCGAUAGUAACUAUCUAUAAGUGCUAAUGAUCUAAUUUUUAAUCUUCGAAGCAAAAAAUUAUAUAAAAAAUCAGAAAGGUAGUUUGGUAUUCUAUUUUAUAGCAUUUUAAUUUGAUAGCCCUUUAUACUACCAUUGAUCAUUUUGAAAACAGUAGCGUUACAAUUAAACUAUAGACCAAAUCAAAUAUUACCACUUACCUAUCAAAUCUUCUUUGCUUCAAGAUAUGUUGAUGAUAUUACUGAAUCAUAUGCAAAAUUCCCCGUCGCAAUCCACUUUCGUUAUAUCAAGUGUAAUUGUAGUACACUCCUCCAAAACCAUUGAAAUGUAAACAAAAACAUCUUGAUUAAUUUCUCGUUAAUUAGUGAACACUUCAUAUACACUUUAUUUCGACUAUGACGCAGUUUGUGUUUUGAUGUGAAUUGUGCUGAUUGAUCAUUAUUAUUUGUUUCAGAUUCUAUGGCUGUUGCUUGAAAAUAUUUUGUAAUAUUAGUUAUACGGUGCUUUGAUUGUUUCUAGCUAAACAUGUAGUAAACAUGCAAAUGGCAUCUAGUCAUACCGAAAAUAGCCAAAAACAACGUCGAAUAGAUUAUUCAGGUUUGUUUCACGCCAUGGUUUAUUGCUUUGAAAUAUUAUGUGAUGACUAAGAUGGUAGGCAGACCAAGUUACGUUAGUGACAAGAAUGGCGUUGCAAACUUCCUUGUAAUGAAGAGACUAGCAGGUAAUCUAUGUGUGCCCAUUGAAUAUGUGUCGCACUUGACCACUUGCUUGUUCACUUUCCCUACAUCGAAUUCAUUCUAAUUACAAACAGAUAACAUUUCAAAUGGUAAAGCAAACAAGGAUGGGAUUUUUAGUCAAUGAAUCAUAUAUGGGCAGUUAUGGAAAAACAAGACUGCAAGUGAUUGGAGCGAUAAAACUCCGGUUUUCAAUUUGUUUUGGCAAUGCUCUGAUGAAACUUGAGAAUGUUUUUAUCGCAACGAGUUUGAACUGGUUUUACUGAACUUUAAUUUAUUCUUUACAUAUUCACGUGCAAAUUGUCUUGUCAUCUAAAAAACUUUGGAGUGCUAUUUCGAUACGGUUCGUACUUUGAAAUAUGCAUUAAAAAAAGUUUCUUAUUUCCAUUUGAAUUUCGAAUAAUUUUGGAAAGAUGUUUAUUUAGCUUACUCUACGAAUCAUUUUCCUGCACAUUUAAGGAUGCCAAGAUUCUUUGAGUAGGCCUGCUAAAUUGUUGAAAUAAAUUUUUUAUUUUCAAUCGAUAAUUCAUACAUUACCGCUUUCUCC